UCUCGUGGCUGACUUCCUUCCCAUUAAUAAUAGAUAGAUAGAUGGCUGACAUCCUUCCUAUUAAUAAUAGAUAGAUAGAAGAUUGGCGAAUUCUAUAACUUUUGAGGAUGAAAGGGUAACUUGUAGUAUCUUUGGGUGCCAAAUUUCAAAGUUAACUCAUUCUUAAACCGCUCCUCCCAUGUUCCCUCCUCAUGCCAUUGCGAUUCUUUCUAUAGGCGAAGAUCUCAGUGAAUCAGCCUUCAAUCUACAAAGCAUAUAUGUCGCUGUCGUGAUGUUGAAGUUUGCACAAGACCUGCCUUGGAUGGAGAGUGCCUUUGCUUAUUGAAAUUUAAUAUUUUUUUAUGGUUUAUGGAAAAUUAAGAUUUUAGUUUUCUUGGUUGUCGCUAAAUAGGGGUUCAAAGCAUAUUUGAUCUUGUUUCUUGAAUUGAUAUAGAUAUUUCUCUGGAUAUCAAAAGUAAAGAAGAACUGCACAAGUGCUCCCUGCAGCUUAAGAUUAUUUCAUUAUCGGUGUGAGAAUUCAUUAUUUGUUUGACACUACAUAUUUUGAGUCAAUUAUUUACUAGUAGUAACUCGUAGAGAAGUGACACAAUUUAAUAUAGUAUUGUUUACCUGUUUGGUUUUCCUCCAUAGUAGUAUUUUAUAUCCACAAUGUUCAAAUAGGCAGCCACAUGGAGUUGGAUUUCAUGGGCUUCGAGCUUGUUCGGCUUGAUUUGGCAAUGCGACUAUGUAAUCAUUCUCUAAUACACUCCAUCGAUGGAAGUAGUCAGUAACAUUUAGCACCUUUUACUGGUAGGACCUCUGUUUUCUCGUUCUCUUUGGUGUACUGAAAAAGAAAUGACAUUCCUAAUUGAAGCUAAUGCAAACAAAUGUGUGUUCAUAGUUUUAUAUAUCCGUGUGCUUAUGUAUUCCCUUUCUCCCAGUUUAGAUGUCCUAAGGGAUCACUUGUUUCACAUGUUAGCUAUGCUAGAAUUAAAAAGCAAGAUUGUUUAUGUUGUGAAUAAUAACGAAGGGAUAGUUAUAAAAUAUUACAUAGAUUCCCACAUAAUUUAAUGCAUGUAUUGUUUAAUAUCGUCAACACCCGCUGGAUCAGGUUAUGCGGGGAUUAUAUUUUCUUAUAUGGCCUACCAAACACUGCAUUGCUAUCUUGAUUGUGAAAAAGAGAUUCAACAGCUAGAAACUGAAAUAUAUUAUUUGUAGUAUCUGUUUGUUGUUGUUCAGAAAAGGAAAAAGGUAAUGUGUUGGGUGAAACCCCCCCAAAACAGCAACUUCUAGUGGUCCAUUGUUUACCAUACUAACAAAAGCUUCCAUCAAAAUGUUGGCGGUGUUAGACGAACCCACAGGAAGAUUCAGUGCCUUAGAAAAAGACUCACUCUGAGCAGUCUGAGAGACUCACAAAGAAAAAAGAGAGGCAGUGAGAUUGAGAGAGUGAGGGCUGUGGCAAAUGCAAUGCAUAGCUAAUCAACAGUGCAUUUCUGAAGACAUUUCUGACUAUCAUGUGUGUGUGUGUCUGCUCCCUUUAGAUUCUACUACGACUAUUUAACUACUACUGCUACUGCAUCUGAAUGACUUGUUGGUUCCCCAAGUACAUGCAAGCAUGGCCGUCAAGUAAUAAAGUAACUUUACAGUCGGAUGUCGAAUCAACAAAGAUUUAUAAUAAUUGUUAACUAAGCUAGCUAAAAUCAAUUAACUGCCCAAGGUAAUCAAGAGUGAUGAUUUUUCUACUAAACUACUUUUGCAGAAAUUAAACAAAUAAUUAACUAAACUAACACGAAGCAAGAGAUUGUGAUUGGAUUUUAAUCAGAGGAGAUGAAGAUUCCAGGAUUGUAGUCAGUUUAUCAAUCCUAUUGAGUUCGUGAUUACACCUGUUAAUCCGAAUUAUCUGUGGUUGCUAGUUGACCGAAUCAUUUAUAUAAAUAGCAUGUUCCCAUAGUACUAUUCAUCUAUCCACAAUAUAUCAACCCUGUAUUCUUUCGAUGGACGAAUUAAUUACAACAUUCAACUAAGUGAGACGGUUAGGUAUAUUCCUAUUCUAACCGCGAAAUCCUUCCCCGAGCCACGGGUUCAGAAACAAGCUCUCUCUAAUUCUACUCUAAUAUUAGCAUGGCUUUUCCAAGCAUAGUGCAUAUAGUGGGAUGAAUCAGUAGCUACAACAGUUCACAAGUUAAAACUAGAAUUAAAAGAAACAACCUUGUGACAACCACAACCCUAGAAAAUAGAGUACUUAGCCACUCAUAAUUGUAGUAAUAAUUACACAAGUGUUUUGCAUAAAUAAGUUACUAAGAAUAGAUGAAGGAAUGAGGAACUCGAUGAUUUUCUCCUCCAAAAUUGCUCCACACGAUAUUCUAGCCUCCAGAAAUCGUCCAACCCCCAAAAAGUAGGUUUAGAACCCCUUUUACACUUGUUGGGGACACGUAGGACCGAAAAGCCCCUCUCCAAGUCGAAAUAGAAGGUUUCCUGGAAGUAGGGUAGGCGACAGGAUGGACGCAGGGCACCCACCUGGACGGUGAAUUAUUUUAAGCCUGCCUUUGGCGUUUUGGUUGCAGGACACCCAACUUUUGCUUCUGCUGAAUUUGGCGUUUUGGUUGGCGCCUUGCGCCCUUCUGGACGCCAAACUUUGCACUUCUUCCGAAUUCCUUCCUUUUCGGCUUUAAUUUGCGCAGAUUCCUCCCAAAUCACUUCCAAUCGACCCCUACCAACAUAAACACCAAAAUUAAGCUCAAGUCAUUCCAUUACACAUUAGAAUUAACAAUAGUUGGGCAAAAAUGUAAGGCACUUAGUAUGCAAAAACACGGAUUUUUAGCCAAACAUCACCUAUGGUUGGCAUUUUUGAAAAUGAGAUAAAAUCAGGUAGCAGAAUCCAAUUUUAAAAUAGCACAACUGUGUUUUUAUUUAAGAAUCUUAUUUUUUCUUAGUUAAGAAAGAGGUUAAUGCUUAUCCUAUAUGUAGUACUGUACUCUUGAUUUUCAUGCUGAUGUUAAUGACUUUUUGAGGAGCUUGGAAUUAAGUGGAAACUAGAGGAACAAAAGCAGGAGCUAGAGGAUGUCUUUUUGGAGCAUGUGGAAUGAGUUUUGUGGUUUCUUACUUGUACGGUGCUCUUAUCUUUAUAAUAUUGAAUCUAAGAAAUAUUUACUUGUCACUAGAUAUGCAGCAACUUGAUAUGUCAUAAGUGGGAUUAUUAGGCGAGUUAUUAGGGGUUCCGUAGUUAAAUGGGAAUGGAAAGAGCAAUGUUUUGGUUUAUAUCUCUGUAAAAUAUUGGAUGCUUUUUUCCACUCGAUGAUAUGGUAUCAAAGAAGCACUUCAAACUUUGUUUGGGUGGAGCAAUUGAGUACAAAACAAUUUGUGGCUGUAUUCUUCAUAGAUAUUUAUUCAUAUGAACUUUUGUCCUAUUACAUCAAUGAUUAUUACUUCUUUGCAGUUCCAAAUGAAACAAAUUGUGAAGAUUUUGACGAUAGUUUUUGGGGUAUAUGCCCUUUGGAUAGGGUUGCUGCAGACAUCAGUGGUUCCAGAGAGCUAUACUUGGCUGGUGAGCUCUUAUUGACAAUGAUUUCCUCUUCAGCAUUUGCUUAUUAUGUUUUUCCACUUUGUAAAUGUUCAAAAGUUGAUGUUGUAGUUGCCUCUAUACUUCAUUGUGUCCCUUGGAUGCUACGGUCUCUUAAUGGUAGGUGUUGGUCUCAUGAAAUUUCCCACGUGCCCGCAAGAAGCUGUUUUCUUACAGCAGUUUCUAAGUUUGAAUUGGAAAAUUGAGUUUUGUAAAAAAUAGUAUUUUGUUUGGAUUGGCUGUUGUUGCAAAUGAUUGCGAAUAUCCUUUGGAGUUUAUGUCUCAAUUUUGCUGGAGUUCGGUGAAGAUUAGAGUUGGUUUUGGUGGGAAUUUCAAAUUGAAACUCGAAGAAAAAGAAGAACAAUGAUGUAUAAAUAAGUUAUACUGUAUUUUGUAUAUCAAGUGUAUCACACUGGACAUACAAAUAACAUACAAUAAUAUAAUUGUAUGCAAGUUGUAUGUGGGCUUCUUUUCCCUGAUUGUAUACAA